GCCCCCUUAGUUAAAUGGCAUAACGGAUCCAUGGUAAGGAUCUGUUCUUGGUUCGAUUCCGAGAGGGGGCACCA
rnacentral:tRNA from 1 species